CUGUCUUUGAUGAGGCUGUCGGCGUCGAAGUACCUAGUGUGGUACAGGCUGAAGCUCCGCCACAACCUAGGCGACGGCGCCGACGUGCUCAUUUAACAGCUGCAGAAGCAAGGGUGCAAAUAGUUGAAGCUGCACGACAGAGGGCUGCUACUGAAGCUGCAAAUAGUUUAAUACUUCAAGAAGCUAUUUGUCUCUUCCGUGAAUUAGUGGCUAUAAUUAGAAGAAGGUACGGCGAAGAGCCCAGAGGCGUGCCACAAGAUCCCGCCGUGUAGAUAUACCACGUUGAAGCUCAAUGUUGUGUUGCCCAGCUGGUUCAUGAAGAGCUUCCACUGGUGGUUGUUGUGCAACUUCCCUUGCUUGCUCUUCUUCUGUCAACCUUACUUCAGGCAAGUUGUUUUCAUUACAAAUAUUGUGCAAUAUUACACAAGCAUUUGUAAUGAAGCCAGCAACCUGUGGUUGAUAAUGCAACACCCUGUGGCACAAGAGACACCGGAAACGUGCUUUGAGAAGACCUAUAGUUCUUUCUAUCACAUUCCUAGCCUUUACA